rnacentral:rRNA from 1 species
AUUGAACGCUGGCGGAAUGCUUUACACAUGCAAGUCGAGCGGCAGCGCGGGGGCAACCCUGGCGGCGAGCGGCGAACGGGUGAGUAACAUAUCGGAACGUACCCAGUCGUGGGGGAUAACACAUCGAAAGAUGUGCUAAUACCGCAUACGACCUGAGGGUGAAAGGGGGGGAUCGCAAGACCUCUCGCGAUUGGAGCGGCCGAUAUCGGAUUAGCUAGUUGGUGAGGUAAAGGCUCACCAAGGCGACGAUCCGUAGCUGGUCUGAGAGGACGACCAGCCACACUGGAACUGAGACACGGUCCAGACUCCUACGGGAGGCAGCAGUGGGGAAUUUUGGACAAUGGGGGCAACCCUGAUCCAGCCAUUCCGCGUGAGUGAAGAAGGCCUUCGGGUUGUAAAGCUCUUUCGGCAGGAACGAAAAGGUGUCUCCUAAUACGGGAUGCUCAUGACGGUACCUGAAGAAGAAGCACUGGCUAACUACGUGCCAGCCGCCGCGGUAACAC